rnacentral:rRNA from 1 species
ACAACUUUUAACAAUGGAUCUCUUGGCUCUCGCAUCGAUGAAGAACGCAGCGAAAUGCGAUAAGUAAUGUGAAUUGCAGAAUUCAGUGAAUCAUCGAAUGUUUGAACGCAUCUUGCGCUCCUUGGUACUCUGAGGAGCAUGCCUGUUUGAGUGUCGUUAAA